GGUUUGAUUCUGGCUCAGAUUGAACGCUGGUGGGAUGCUUUACACAUACAGUCAGACAGCGGCACGACUUCGGUCUGGUGGCGAGUGGCGAACGGGUGAGUAUGUAUCGGAACGUGCCUAGUAGCGGGGAUAACUACGCGAAAGCGUAGCUAAUACCACAUACGCCCUUCGGGAAAGCGGGGACCUUUGGGCCUCUCCUUUACUGACUAGGGCUGCCGAUAUCGGAUUAGCUGGUUGGUGGGGUAACGGCUCACCAAGGCGACGAUCGUAGCUGGUUUGAGAGGACGACCAGUCACACUGGGACUGGGCCUGACCCAGACUCUACGGGAGGCAGCAGUGGGAGGAAUUUUGGACAAUGGGGAAACCUGAUCCAGCCAUCCCGCGUGUACGUUAAGGCCUUCAGGUUGUAAGCACUUUUGGCAGGAGAAAAACGGCACGGGAUAAUACCCCGUGCAACUGACCGUACCUGCGAAUAAGCACCGGCUAACUACGUGCCAGCAAUGCUGUUAUUACGUAGGGUACGACGUUAAUCGGAAUUACUGGGCGUAAAAAAGCGUGCGCGGUUCGGAAAAGAAGAUGUAAAAUCCCGACUUAACACGGAACUGCAUUUUUAACUACCGAGCUGUAGAGUGUGUCAGAGAGGUGGAAUUCCAUGUCUGCUGAUGAAAUGCAUGAAUAUGCGGAGAGACACCGAUAGCGAGGCAGCCUCCUGGGACCUUCACUGACGCUAUUUGCGAAAGCGUGGAGAUAAGCUUAAGGAUUAGAUACCCUGGUAGUCCCGCCUAAACGGUAUCAACUAGCUGUUGGGGUCUUGGGCCUUGGUAGCGCAGCAACGCAAUGAAGUUGACCGCCUGGGGAGUACGGUCGCAAGAUUAAAACUCGAGGAUACGGCGGGGACCCGCACAAGCGGUGGAUGAUGUGGAUUAAUUCGAUGCAACGUGAAAAACCUUACCUACCCUUGACAUAUCUGGAAUCCCGAAGAGAUUUGGUGCUGCUCGAAACCGGAACACAGUGCUGCAUGGCUGUCGUCAGCUCGUGUCGUGAGAUGUUGGUUAAGUCCCGCAACGAGCGCAACCCUUGUCAUUAGUUGCUACGAAAGGCACUCUAAUGAGACUGCCGGUGACAAACCGGAGGAAGGUGGGGAUGACGUCAAGUCCUCAUGGCCCUUAUGGGUAGGGCUUCACACACGUCAUACAAUGGUCGGGACAGAGGGUCGCCAACCGCGAGGAGCCAAUCCCAGAAACCCGAUCGCAUUCCCAGUUCCUGGUCUGCAACUCGACUGCGUGAAGUCGGAAUCGCUAGUAAUCGCGGAUCAGCAUGUCGCGGUGAAUACGUUCCCGGGUCUUCAUACACACCGCCCGUCACACCAUGGGAGUGGGUUUACCGUGAACCGGCCUAACCGUAAGGAGGGCGAUUACACCGAUGAGAUUCGCAGGCUGUAGGGUGAAGUCGUAACAAGGUAG
rnacentral:rRNA from 1 species